GAAGGAGAAAGGCCCGGUCCUGCGAGGGGAUUUGUGAGGAGUAAGAAUGAGAGGGCGAGGAGAAAGAGAAGGAGAAGAGAGGGAUGAGACACCACUGGGAUGUAGUCUUGAGUAUGCCAAGAGCUGGGUGAUCUGCUACAUAGUCCAGUGCUCCUAUCGCCUCCGCUGAGAUCACCACUGACCAUUAGCAUCUCUGCCAUCUGUCAGCCUGCAGACGAGGCGCUCAGCCUCCUUGCCACAUUGUCCUCACUUGCUCAUUGUCUUUGCCUCCGUCUGCCCCUUGUUAUUUAUGGAACCGAGGAGUACAGAGAAGAAGCCUGGAGCUAAACUAUGCCCACAGCCAAGCUGCCCAAGAGAUUUCGCAAAGGCCUUGUCAGGGACAGAAAGCCUUCUGUCACCUCUGCCACACCACCUCCCCUGCCUACUACUCCAACCUAUUUAACAUUUUUACGCGAUGAUGAAGUGAUGACUUAGUGUACUGGCUCAUAUUGUGACAUGUAUUUCUCAUCCUCCUUCAAGUUACGUUCUUCCUUUCAUAGUGGUCACACCUGGACAGUCUGAUGCACAUUUAUGAGUAGACAUGUCUAAAAUGUUGCAUUUUAUCUUCCUGUCAGUAAUAGAAGCUGGAGUCCGGAUCAUUGAAC